rnacentral:tRNA from 1 species
AGUAAAAUGCCUGAUUAAAGGGUUAUCGUGAUAGGAUAAAUAAUGUAAUUUCCAUUACUUUUACUA